CGGCCCUCGGUCCGCCUUGGCAGCGCGGCUCCCGUGACUCAGCCGCCGGCCCAGCGCUGGCCCCCGUUCCCCGCCGCGCGGAAGAGAGGCACCGCUCGGCCCGAGACGCCGGCCAGGGUGGGGGUCGCCGCCCGCUCGCCCGCCCUCCCUCGCGCCCUCGCUUUCCGGCUGCCGGAAACCGGCCCCGCCGGCCGUGGCCCCGCGGAGCCGCGGCGCCGCUCAGAUAUCUGGCUGGACAUCAGAAAUUGCUUUUGAUGGCUUAGGACCUCCUCCUUGAGACCCAAGGUCCCAGCCCACCAUCGAAGGACGUCAAGGCAGGAACCUGGAGGCAGGAGGAAGAGGCUGUGGAAGAAGAUGCUUACUGGUUUUCUCUUCAUAAGCUUUCUCAGUCUGUUUUUAAACAACUUGGGGCCAAAUGACCUUAUAAAUUAAAUAAAUUUAAUAUUACUUCCUUUAAUUAAUAAUAUUAUUUUACUUAAUAAUAGCUUUUAUUUCUGAAAUCACUGAUGCUAUAAUGUUCUCAGGUAACUAUAAAAGUAGUUCUAUAGAUCCAAACUAAGCCUUUUGUAAAUCUCAUCUUUUGUAACAUCAAGUAUGAUAUAGAACUGUACCCAUUACUUUCAAUGACACAGAAACAAAUUUAGAAGUUUUAAUGCUUAGGAUCAAUGGCUUCAACACAUUUCUCUAAAUAAUUAAAAUUGUGAUGUGAUUGAUUACUCUAAAAAUUGGGGCUGAAUAGAUCCCUCUUAGGUGAGAUUGUCUUGGUGACUGAUGGAAAAGAAUUUAGAGGCAAAACAAAACAACAAAGUUCUUGCCGAUGUGACUCAAGCCAAAUCCAUGCAGAUCCCGACACAGUUCAUAUAACUUUAAUUUCAUGCUUUCAUUCCAUUGGGUAAAACUUUUUACAUAUAAUUAUGGUCUUUAUACAAACACGAUGACAGGUAAUGUUAGCUUACAUAGAAUCAUGAAUAGGUUCAGUUUAUGAAACAGAGAAAGGGAAAACAGCAACAGAGGUUAAGAUCCAGGUAGACAGAAUAUUUCACCACCAAAAACAAUGAGUAUUUUAUCUACUAUCAUUUCUUAUCUUUAUAUGCUACUAUGAGAUUCCAAAAUGGGCUAUCAAAGACUGGGUGAUUUAUAAAGACAGUGAUUUUCACAGUGCUGAUGAUCCAUGACCAACACACCCACACAUUUGGGUUGGGAUGAAGGCUUUUCCUGUAUUGUAGACAGCUGUUUUCUGUGCCCUUUACAGUGGAAAGAGCAAGGAGGGAGCUUUGGUCUCUGCAUAGACUGCUAACUCUAUAAAGGGGGCUUCAACUUUAUAUCCAAGUUACCCCUCAAGAGCUCACCUCCCAAUACUUUCACACUGGGCAUGAGUAUUUCAACCUACAUGUUUUGAAGGGAACAUAAACAUUUGAUCCAUUGCAAUAAAUUGUAAUAUGUUGCACACUGAAUCUACAUCGACCACUGACAUUGAUUCUUUCAAUUUAAGUUUCAAUCAAACUUUUCCAAAUAUGAGUUUUUCCCUUAAAAAUUCUAAAAUAACAAGACACAUUCAAUAAUUUCAGCAAUA